rnacentral:rRNA from 1 species
UACGAAGGGGGCUAGCGUUGUUCGGAAUUACUGGGCGUAAAGCGCGCGCAGGCGGUUCCUCAAGUCAGAGGUGAAAGCCCAGAGCUCAACUCUGGAAUGGCCUUUGAGACUAGAGAACUAGGGUACGGGAGAGGUGAGUGGAAUUCCGAGUGUAGAGGUGAAAUUCGUAGAUAUUCGGAAGAACACCAGUGGCGAAGGCGGCUCACUGGCCCGUUACCGACGCUCAGGCGCGACAGCGUGGGGAGCAAACAGG